CUAAAAUCUCAGGGCCCAUGUUCACUAGAAACAAGGAGCCCCCUGACCCCUUCUUCCAAACAUACUCUUUUGUCUUUAUGUUUAUUCCUGCACUCGUCCCCCUUUGUUCAGUCCAACAGGGAUUGGGGCUGCGUCAAAGUGGUGCCUGAACAGGGACUUCAAGGACGCGAAUGAAGAAGGUCCGUUGGAGCAGAGGAAGUGAAACUGACAAGAUGAACGGGGACCUCGGGAGGAGUCUGCCAACAGCAGAUAUAAGGACAGUGCCCUAAAGAAGUACUGUUCAGUGCCCUAAAGAGGUACUGGGAAUGAUAUAAGUCUGUAAAAUCAGAUGGACUGC
rnacentral:lncRNA from 10 species